CAUUCAUUCUAAUGCAACAACGUUUGUAACGUUUAUUUUGAUUGGAUAACGUCACUUUCUUACAUGUCAUCAAUUGACAAUUGAUGCUAUGGGGACGUACGCGCAAGCGCAGACGGCAUAUGACAGAUUUUAAAUACAUGUUUUAACGUUGUUUUCUGUCAGUUUCAUUAGAAUGGAGAUAACAAUAUUGCAUUUUAAGCUCCGACGGCAUCAAUUGGGGAUUUGAUGGUCGCAAAUACCCGUUUACUGUCUCCGCUAACGCGUCGCCAGUAAACUUAAUUUGCGACCAUCAAAUCCCCAAUUGAUGCCGUCGGAGCUUAAAAUACAAUACAGUUAUCUCCUAAGU
rnacentral:lncRNA from 1 species